CUUUUCCGUCUCUUUCUUUUUAUGUCACCAGGGGAGGACUGGGUGGCCAACCCAGAGCCCCGAGAGAUGCUAGGCUCUUUCUGUCCCGCCCUUCCUCUGACUGUGUCUUGAUUUCCUAUUCUGAGAGGCUAUUGCUCAGCGGUUUCCGUGGCAACAGUAAAGCGUGGGAAUUACAGAUAAAUUAAAACUGUGGAACCCCUUUCCUCGGCUGCCGCCAAGGUGUUCGGUCCUUCCGAGGAAGCUAAGGCCGCGUUGGGGUGAGACCCUCACUUCAUCCGUUUUGUCUGCAGCUCGAUUUCUUGGUUCCCUGACUGGGAAGCGAGGUGAAUGGCGGAUGGUCAAGGCAGCUCCUUAGGCGGCUUAAACCUGCCCUGUGGAACAUCCCUGCAGGGGACUCCAACCAGCCCGAGCAACACGGAUCCUGAGGGCGCUCCUGGUUAGGCAUUUGCCCCACUGGGACGCCUCGCCAGAGCACUGUAUGGCAGGCCCCCAUGGAGGAUCAACGCAGUGGCUGAACACCGGGAAGGAACGGGCACUUGGAGUCUGGACAUCUAAAACUUGAAUUUCUAGUAAACCAGCACCAGCCUGAAGAUCACAUUCUCAUCGAAAGGUGGAAAGAAGAAAAACUCGAGCCAGCCUGGAAGGACCCUACCUUGUGUUGCUAACCACCAAGACUGCUGUUCGUACAGCAAAAAAGGAUGGACUCGUCACACCAGAAUCAAGAAAGUGCCACCCCCUCCAGAGUCAUGGGCCACAGUCCCAGAGGAAAACCCUGCCAAACUAAAGCUACGAAAAAUCUCUUUUCAUCUAUUCUAUUACUCUUCUUUCUUUCCUCGUGCUAUUGCUGACCAUCUAGUUAUUAACAUAACCAAGUCAAUUUCACCUCAAACUAUUGCAUUUAAUGCUUGCCUUGUUAUACCCUGUGGGGACUUGCCAAGUCAAAGACAGCUCUCUACUUCAGAAAAGUACUUCUGUCCCUCCUGACUCUCCUCAGACUGGACAUUAGUAAACUAGGACCAUUUAAUCCAGGGAGAUUUCGAUAAAGACCCCAGUGCCAACCAGGAGUCUUGUCCCCUGAUGUAGAGUUUUUAUGCCGUAGUUGGUCCAACGUUCUGUGGACCACUAAAGAGCAAGAAUGGACUGCCCCAACCAGUUUUUGUAAUUUCCUAAAACCAUACAUUCGUUUUACUA
rnacentral:lncRNA from 1 species